rnacentral:piRNA from 1 species
GGCUGCUGUGACGGCACAUGAAGGCCUCU